CAUUACAGUUCGACUUCAUGAUAGUAUUGCAGAGGAAGGCUUCCACUACUUGGUUUUUGACCUAGUUACAGGAGGAGAGUUGUUUGAAGACAUUGUAG